UGCUGGCUACAGAACUCACCACUCAGGUUUAUUACUGGUGCUGGCUACAGAACUCACCACUCAGGUUUAUUACUGGUGCUGGCUACAGAACUCACCACUCAGGUUUAUUACUGGUGCUGGCUACAGAACUCACCACUCAGGUUUAUUACUGGUGCUGGCUACAGAACUCACCACUCAGGUUUAUUACUGGUGCUGGCUACAGAACUCACCACUCAGGUUUAUUACUGGUGCUGGCUACAGAACUCACCACUCAGGUUUAUUACUGGUGCUGGCUACAGAACUCACCACUCAGGUUUAUUACUGGUGCUGGCUACAGAACUCACCACUCAGGUUUAUUACUGGUGCUGGCUACAGAACUCACCACUCAGGUUUAUUACUGGUGCUGGCUACAGAACUCACCACUCAGGUUUAUUACGGUGGCUACAGAACUCACCACUCAGGUUUAUUACGGUGGCUACAGAACUCACCACUCAGGUUUA